GGCCUUUUGGGGAUUUAUAUAAAAGGUUGGGCCUGCCCGGUGAUCUGAAAUGGUUUAACGGCUGCGAUUGAAACCGUACUAAGGUAGCAUAAUAAUUUGCCCUUUAAUUGGGGGAGAGAAUGAAUGGUUUGACGGUAAAAAAGCUGUUUUAAAAAUAAAAAAAGAAGUUAACUUUUAAGUGAAAAGGCUUAAGUUUUUAUAAAAGACGAGAAGACCCCGUCGAGCUUAAUUAGAAUAACUUAAAUGUAGGUUAUUUAAAAUUUUAUUGGGGCAAUAGAAAAUGAAAUGAAUCAUUUUUUUUAUUAUAAGGAUCCAGUUUUGACUGAAAAAAGCAAAAGCUACCGCGGGGAUAACAGGGUAAUUUUUUCUGAGAGUUCAUAUUUAAGAAGAAGUUUGCUACCUCGAUGUUGGAUUAGAAUUUCUUUAUGCUUGC
rnacentral:rRNA from 1 species